ACGCUCGACACCUACGGGAGCAGCAGUGGGGAAUAUUGCACAAUGGGGGAAACCCUGAUGCAGCGACGCCGCGUGAGCGAAGAAGUAUUUCGGUAUGUAAAGCUCUAUCAGCAGGGAAGAUAAUGACGGUACCUGACUAAGAAGCUCCGGCUAAAUACGUCNCNNNCGCGAGUAUGNGCGGCGUGNGAG
rnacentral:rRNA from 1 species